rnacentral:tRNA from 1 species
GGAGGGGUGCCCGAGUGGCUAAAGGGGACGGACUGUAAAUCCGUUAGCUAAGCUUACGUUGGUUCGAAUCCAACCCCCUCCACCA